AACGAACGCUGGCGGCAUGCCUAACACAUGCAAGUCGAACGAGACCUUCGGGUCUAGUGGCGCACGGGUGCGUAACGCGUGGGAACCUGCCCUUAGGUUCGGAAUAACUCCCCGAAAGGGGUGCUAAUACCGGAUAAUGUCUUCGGACCAAAGAUUUAUCGCCUUUGGAUGGGCCCGCGUUGGAUUAGCUAGUUGGUAGGGUAAAAGCCUACCAAGGCGACGAUCCAUAGCUGGUCUGAGAGGAUGAUCAGCCACACUGGGACUGAGACACGGCCUAGACUCCUACGGGAGGCAGGAGUGGGGAAUAUUGGACAAUGGGCGCAAGUGUGAUACAGCAAUGCCGCGUGAGUGAUGAAGGCCUUAGGGUUGUAAAGCUCUUUUACCCGGGAUGAUAAUGACAGUACCGGGAGAAUAAGCACCGGCUAACUCCGUG
rnacentral:rRNA from 1 species